UACGAAGGUGGCAAGCGUUGUUCGGAUUUACUGGGCGUACAGGGAGCGUAGGCGGUUGGAUAAGCCCUCCGUGAAAUCUCCAGGCUUAACCUGGAAAGUGCAGAGGGGACUGUUCAGCUAGAGGAUGGGAGAGGAGCGCGGAAUUCCCGGUGUAGCGGUGAAAUGCGUAGAGAUCGGGAGGAACACCGGUGGCGAAGGCGGAUCUCUGGGCCAUUACUGACGCUGAGGAGCGAAAGCGUGGGGAGCGAACAGG
rnacentral:rRNA from 1 species